rnacentral:lncRNA from 1 species
AGCAGAUAAAACCAGUGAAGUUAAGACAUGAGAAGCAGAACACAUCAGGUGCUGCAGAACCCUGGGACUAGUGUCACCAUAUGAGGAACAGAUUUGGAACAUGCCAAAAUUCACAUAAAGAGGCAUUUCGAGGAAGUCCACAGGUGCCCUGGGAGGGGACGAUCGACUUGAAGAAAUUACAGACACAAGCAAUCACAGCUUCAUUCACCUGAUUGGGCAGACUUUAUGCCCAGCAUGGAGCCCAACACGGGGCUUGAACUCAAGACCCUGAG